AUCUUUCUGCAUGCACAGAUCCAUGUGGCACUCAUCUCAUCAUUCUGAGGGAAGAAAGAUGCAUAGGGAAUGUUGCAUGUGGUUAUUUCUGCAGAACCCACAGAAAACAAUAAAGCACGAGAGAAAAGAGGAUGGCAGUUUACCCAGGAAACAUAGGUUGUGCAAAGCUUUGCAAUGAUACUCUCAAUUCAGAGCAAUGAAGAACAGAAUGCUGUCUUCCCAUAAUGAUGGCAUUCAAUUAUCACUAGACUUACAAGACUACAGAAAAUUUCUCAAGAACCAGUAAGGAUCAGACAGAGCCAAUGACAAUACUGAAGAAGCUUGCCAGUGGAGAAUGAAAGCUCAGUUACACAAAUUACGUUGUUGAACCAGUGCCAGAAAUAAAAUGUGAUGGACAAACUCAUUAA
rnacentral:lncRNA from 1 species